UGGGGCAUAUGAUGCUAAUCAUCUUAUCCUACACACUGAAUUGUGAUGUGGACUCAUACUCCGCUUAUUAUCUGAUGCCCUU